AUGGUUUACAGUCAAUGCAUGACUCGGAAAUGUUUUAAACCUGUUUUGCUAGACUUCACACACCCUUUAAAAGUCUCAGGUCAAAGCCAAAGCUUCUCAUGUGCAAUUGGUGAGCAGACAAUCCGGGUGGCAGAAGGUUAACACAGUGUGGUCCAAGACCUAAAUCAAGGAUGAAAGGCCUCAUCUUCCUUGUUGUGCACUUGGCAGUUUCAUCAGCACUCUCAGUAAAAACAAAUGGAUCAGAUUUAGUCAACAUUGGUGAAGACAAGGACAUAACAGAUGUAAACAAGGGUUUAUUACACGAUGAUAUUCUGAUGCCAACACAAAGGAGUGCCAUUAAUGAUAGGGACAUACUAUGGACAUCUCCAGUCCCAUAUGUUCUGGGAAAAGACCUUGAGAUGAAUGCUAAAGGAGUCAUCCUGAAAGCCCACGACCAGUUCAGGCUGAAGUCAUGCAUUGACUUCAAACCAAGGGACUCUGAGGAAUAUUACAUUUCUGUCACAAAGUUAAACGGAUGUUUUUCAUAUAUUGGGCAAGUAAUGAACAACGGACAGAACCUCUCCAUCGGGACCAACUGUGAUCACAUUGCCACUGUUGAACAUGAGUUCCUCCAUGCUCUUGGCUUCUACCAUGAACAGUCCAGAUAUGACAGAGAUGAUUAUUUGACCAUUGCAUUCGAGAACAUCAAAGAAGGUCGCGAGCAUAAUUUUCGAAAAGUUAGCAAGGAAGAAAGCACCACCAACGGAGUUCAAUACGACUACUGGUCAGUGAUGCAUUACAGCAAAAAUGCAUUCAGCAAUGGCAAUGGGUCAACAAUAAUCACCAAAGAUCCAAAAUUUGAGGAUGUUAUUGGUCAAAGACUGGAAGUAAGUCCCAGUGAUGUGUUGGAGCUGAACCGUCUCUACAAAUGCAGCUCAACCAUUGCAUUUCAGAUGCACUGCAGUUUUUCUAAUGGGACUAUGUGUCAAAUGAAUCGAUGUUCACAGAGUGUCAUUAGCUGGGAAAUGGUAACGAAAGCUUACGGGGGUCCUAACUUUGACCACACCAAUCUACCCAGUGGCAAUGGUGAUCAUCAUGGUCAAGAUGAUGGUUACUUCAUGCAUGCUAGCACAACCUCAGGUCAGAAGGGAGACUCAGCCUGGCUGGAGACCCAGAGAAUGACUGCCAAAAGGGAAUGUCAUAUCCAGUGUCUCCAGUUCUACUUUUACCACAGUGGGAACGGGUCAGACGAACUUAACAUCUGGAUCAGAGAGUUUGAAGAUGAAUGGGACUCCACAGGAACCCUGCGCCUUAUGGAACAGAUUACUGGUCCACCAACAUCUCACUGGCAGGUCAAACAUGUUUCCCUGAAUGCCACCAAGCACUUCCAGGUGGAGUUUGAGAUUCGUAAAGGAGCAGGAAACUCUUCAGGCAGCUUCUCAAUCGAUGACAUCAAUCUGUCUGAGACUGAAUGUCCUCAUGUGACCAUGCAGAUUAAUGAUUUCGAGAAUGUUUGGAACACAAGUGAAUAUGGAACCACUUUAUACAGCCAACGGCAGUACUCCAGUGGAGGCUAUGCUUACGCUGUUGGGACUGUGCUGUUCAAUACACAUUUCGGACUGUUUGUGCAACUCUUGUCUGGUAAAUAUGAUGACAAGCUGGAGUGGCCUCUCCCACAAAGGCAGGUGACCUUCCAAAUGCUGGAUCAGAACCCCAACAUCCAGCUGCAAAUGUCCAAGCAAAGGAGUAUCACUAGUGACCAGCAAGUCAGAAGUGAUGGUACCUUUCUUUGGGACAACCCUCGUGAGAUUGGAACUCCAUAUGUAGAUGAGAAUAAUGAGACCAUCUAUGCUGGACCUCUGAUUGGCAGAACAUUUUUUGCAACUGCGGAAGAACUGAAAGUCAGAGACUUCCUCAAGGGAGGGAGUGCCGUUUUCGUCUUCAGAUUUGAAGAUCUUACUCCUCUAGUUAAUGGAAGUGCUCUACCAUGUCCUAAAGUGGGACAAGUGAAGGUUACAUCUCCUAAGGAUGUGGAUAAAGGCCCAUGCUCAUCACAGUAGGACAUUUUGUUAUCAAAGAUCUUAACCACCACCCUUCCACCUCCUAAAACAACAGAUAACAGCAUUUUUGGCUUCUGUCCUGGUCUGGUGUCUUCUCCUGUCCUCACCCUCAUGCUAGCACUAAUGCUUUUGAUACCUUGACGUGUGUCUCCUCCCAUCCACAUCUCGACUCUGCACAAGGACCAGUCCAGCUAGUUUUCCUCUGGCCGAUUUAUUCAGCUGUUUUUCCUGUGGAACAAUUGUCUUUUGCUGUUUUUCUGGUAUAAUAAAAAGAGAAAGGCCCAGCAGGUAAAUAACUAUGGCAGAUACUGUAUAUCAGGGGUAGUUUUUGUGUCAAAACAUUUAACAGCAUAAUGAUUAAUGAAAUGCCUGUAAUAAUGUGAUCAUGGUUUUUGGUAUUGUGAUUUGUUAGUAUUUGGAUUAUCCUUUAUGGUUUGAUUUUGAAAUUUUACUUUUGAUUUCUUAUAGUAUUGUAUUGAUAUAGUAUAAUUGAUUGACCCGCAACCCCUAGGUUGAGGAUCACUGGAUUAAACAAAUGAAUAUAAAGUAGAUAAAACUAGCUCCUCCUCAAGCAGCUACAACAGUAAAAUGCUGCUUACACUAUGAUGAAAUUCAUAAUAUGUCAUUUUUCUGCAAAACAAAUGCUUUUACUUUAAAAAGUACCCUACUUUUGUACGGUAGGAUUUUGAAUGCAGGACUUUUACUUAUAUUGGGAGUAUUUAUAAAUUGGUAUAUUGGUGCUUUUACUUAGGUAAAGGAUGUGAAUACGUCUUCCACCACUGUACAAACCAAAUUGAUUGAAGCAGCAUUAACAGAUUUUCCCCACUUGAGGACAGCAGAAACAAAGCCAUUAAAAGUCUUGUGUGUGUCUGGCUUAUGAAAGUCCAUUGUCCUAUACUGUACUUAGCUCUAGUUUUGGUCCCCACUGACUCCUGAGAUAAUUCUUAACUGCAAAAUGCUCCUUUAUGCUCACCAGCUGCUUGCUAACUACGUCUGUCUGAUGUGCGGUGCUGGGCAGGUAGCAUGUAUUUUAUCACUUUUUUUUGGUGGAAACAGCUGCCUGGAUUCUCUAUGAUAAUAUGUGACCCGUUCACAUUAUAUUUAGUAAUUUAUCCCAUUGUUGGUAAAAAAUAUUGAUUAUAGCAGCUUCAAACCGGGAAGGUGUGUUAUUUUGUUUGCUGGGUGGAAAGAAAUCAGUUCAUUCUGCAUCUGACAGUCGCAAUAAAGAUAUUGUCUUGUCUCGUCUUUCAUCGAAAGACAAUUAGAAGUAUAAGAUUAUAUAAUACUUUAGAAAUAAUUAAGCUGUGUCUAAAUUCAGCACCCAUAAGCAAUAAAAAGAUCCAGUUUUACAAAAA